AUUGAACGCUGGCGAAAUGCUUUACACAUGCAAGUCGAACGGCAGCACGGACUUCGGUCUGGUGGCGAGUGGCGAACGGGUGAGUAAUGUAUCGGAACGUGCCCAGUCGUGGGGGAUAACGUAGUGAAAAUUACGCUAAUACCGCAUACGAUCUAUGGAUGAAAGCGGGGGAUCGCAAGACCUCGCGCGAUUGGAGCGGCCGAUAUCAGAUUAGGUAGUUGGUGGGGUAAAGGCCCACCAAGCCAACGAUCUGUAGCUGGUCUGAGAGGACGACCAGCCACACUGGAACUGAGACACGGUCCAGACUCCUACGGGAGGCAGCAGUGGGGAAUUUUGGACAAUGGGCGAAAGCCUGAUCCAGCCAUUCCGCGUGCAGGAUGAAGGCCCUCGGGUUGUAAACUGCUUUGUACGGAACGAAAAGGCUCUGGUUAAUACCUGGGGCUCAUGACGGUACCGUAAGAAUAAGCACCGGCUAACUACGUGCCAGCAGCCGCAGUAA
rnacentral:rRNA from 1 species